UAGAGAAACAUAGGGCUACAACUAACUCCAUUGGACCAACCUCAAAAGAGCUACAGUUCCCAAGAUGCAAGCAAGACAAGACAGCAACAAAAUAAUAACAGAUCCCAGACUUAGAAAUAUUUCAGCUCCUCCAAAUCAGCACUAUUUCUAUCAACUUGAGAGCAAGCAAAAAACACCUAAACAUGCAUUUCUAUUGCAAACAAAAAAA
rnacentral:lncRNA from 1 species